GGGAGAUGGGAGGGAAAGGUGGAGAUGGGAUGAAAAAAAGGGCUGUUCCAUGGGUAUCCCUUAGUGUCCCUAUGGCUUGAUCCCUGGAGUGCUUCCCUGGGGAUCUGGGGGGGAAUGGAUCUGCACUGGCCGGGUCUCCAAGCUCCCUGCCCAUCCCUGGGGGGCUCAUGGGAGGUUCCCUUGGUCCCUUCCCCCAAAAGCUGGUGGUGCUGCACCUGUGUGGGAGAGGUGAGUGUGAAAGGAGGAUCUGGGGUGGGCAGGGAGGAGGAGCAAUAGGAAGCGGAGGGAGAGAGGAGGCGUGGAUGGGAAAAGGAGGAGCAGGAAGAGGAAGAGGAGGAGCUGCAGCAGAACCACAGGGUUUUAUCACCCACCUGCUGAGUCUGCAGCUCCCCUGGCCCUGGCAGCAUCGACACCCCCCAGAUCCCACAGGCCAGGAUUUGUCAAUCCCAGCCUUUAUCUGGAUGGAGCUGGAGGAGGCUGCAAGGAAAAGGAAGGUGGUGUGGGACAUUUGAGGCAGGAGCUAUGCAAAGCCCUGCCUGAUUUACAGCUUGGGUGACAAAGGCUACCUAAGGCUUUCUCCAUGAGUUCCUGUUGUUCAGCUGCUACAAGAAUAUCAUCCAUAGAAUGGUACAAAAGAACACUGGGCAUUUGUUGAUGAACAGAACUGAGGACCUAGCAAUAUACCUCUGGCAAAUAGUACAGCUGUUUUUCAUGCUCUCAGCUUCAUCACUGGAGACACUUCUGGAAGGUCGUGGCACCGCUGCCUCUCGCUCCACCACCAACGGGCUAGCGGCUUGUGACAGCUGACAGCCUGAGCAGGGACCUCUUUGGAGCAUUCCUGGAAGCGUCUCCAGUAGCUUUUUUGCUACUGGAAUUAAGUCGUGUUCAGAGCAGCCAGGUCCCAGAGGAGACUUCUAAGUUUUAUUGGGGGAAUCCCAUGGCAACCUUCUUGAGGCGAGAUCAGUCAAAGCUGACGGACCAUCCUGAGAGCUUUUGCUGACCCAUGGUCGUGAUAUGCUACCAACACUGAGUCCCGAAGACUUUGCAACGACACUACAGAACCCUGCUAAUGGAGAGCUCUUGACGACAAUCGUGAGUCACGGGGUGGUGUAAGAGACGGUCUGAAGUUUCCCUCAUUUGCCUCACGACUGUCGCAAGGACAGAGACCAAGACCCUGGAGACCCUGGCUGGAGUUCUGGCCUGGCUGAGGUGGAUGCUCGCCGGGUGAUUGUUUGCAGCUGUUUGCUGUGCCGCCACGGUACACGGCUUCGAGCAGGGCCUGGCCAGGAGCGGCUUGCUCUGCUGGCUUACACCUGCUUCACAAUCCCCGCUCAUCACACUAGCCCAGGAACUGCCCCACCUCUUGGCCAAAAUAAGAAAAAUGAACCAUCACGA